ensembl:lncRNA
GUGAGGUGUGGUUACUAGAGCAUCUUAGUUAUAAGAAUGUAUCUCUCUCAUUGUAAUCAUUUGAAUCUGUUUCUCCCCAUAGGAAGUACAGAUGUCUAUAACACUAUCACCCCCCUAUAUAUGCCACUGCAGAGAGAUGAUGAGGAAGAAUAUGAUGAUGUGGUUCCCUCCGACACUAGAGCAGAGGAACAUGUGUAACUGAGGAAAAGAAAGGGAGAGAUGAUAUGCUACAACAUCCAUAAAGCUCCAUGUACCUGUUACCGAGGCUUAGGACUUCCCUAACAUCCAAGAGUCACAGCUGUUUUUGCUUCUACUUUUUAGUUUUUAUGCCUUUGAGCAUCUAUUUAAAAUAGAGCAUUUGUGCUCUUAAUGUGUUUUCUAAAGCAGUGCCAUUUCCUCAAAUGUGUAAAUUGUAAAUGUAAACAGCCACAUACAUCUAUGAAUAUGUUUGGAAAGGACAGAAUAUCGACAAUGGCCUAAUCAAUCCUUCAUUUUAGUUGUUUUAAGAUUGUGAAAGACUGAGUUCAACUCCCAUAAGAUAGGCUAGGUGGCAGUCAAUUAGCUUAUGUGUUACUGUAGAUAUUUAC